AAAUUAAAACUUUAAUAAGUAUUUUAUUUACAUUAAAAAAAUAAUUGUUUAAUCAAUUUGAUUUGAA
rnacentral:tRNA from 1 species